AAAAUUGCAAGUCGAGUGACUUUGUGACCUGCAGUUCUGUGUGCUUUGAUUGAUUUUCCAUGUGCUGAAAAAUCCCUGCAGUUCUAAGUGCUCUGAUUUGUAUAUUUCUUUUUCCCUUCAUCCAAAUUGCUGCUUUGGCUAGAUUUUGAGAAUAAGUAAUUUGGAUAAAAAUAGUACCUGAAUGCUUAAGUAACUCUAGAGUGAUUGUUUGAUGGCAGAAUAUAACAUUUAGUUAGUCGUACCUAUUCUUAAUAAGUUGGGUGGCACUUCCCUAAAAAAAUUGUUAAUCAGCAACUAAACCUACCCAUUCUGAAUGCCAUAGACCAUAUUCAUAGAGAGAGAGUGAGGUGCACAGAUAACAAUAGUUAGAGCAUGCUUUACAUCUUUUAGCAAAUCCUUGCAAGAUGAGUGACUUUGUGACCUGCAGUUCUGUGUGCUUUGAUUGAUUUCCAUGUGCUGAAAAAUCCCUGCAGUUCUAAGUGCUCUGAUUUGUAUAUUUCUUUUUCCCUUCAUCCAAAUUGUUGCUUUGGCAUUAGAUUUUGAAAAUAAGUAAUUUGGAUAAAAAUAGUACCUGAAUGCUUAAGUAACUCUAGAGUGAUUGUUUAAUGGCAAAAUAUAACUUGAAGCUCAUAUGGGUGUGGUCUGAUGGUCUCUAUGUUUUUUAAAGAACAGGUAGACUAUAGGGAUUGUGGGUUAUUUCAAUGGAAAAUAGGGGCUCUCCUGCACCAUUGGGUGACAAGACUAACUCUAUUAAUGAAGGAAGUGAUGUUGUACAGCGUAGGCGAGAAAGAGAUAAGGCUCGAUGGCAUGCAAUGUCUCAAGAGAAAAAGGAUGAAAAAAAUAAAAACGUCGAGAAGCAUAUAAAAGAAAAAAGGAGCAACAACUGUGUAUUGAAACAGUCAAUGGUUGUAUAGUAGAAAUAUUGGUGAAUAAAAAUAUAGAUAUUACUAUUCAUGUUUCUCAUAUGUGCUAUGUCUCAAUUGGUAGAUGGACAGGAUGUAUCAAACAAGGAAAAUAUGGAUCCUAAUGAAACAAAUGACUGGUUACAUAGGAAUGAUUUA